AUUUUUCUCUACCCCUUUACUUUGAACCUCUGGGUGUCAUUGCAUGUGAAAUGAGUCUCUUGAAAACAGUAUACCAGUGGGUCUUGCUUCUUUUUCCAAGUUGCCACUCUGUGCCUUUUAAUUGGGGCAUUCGUCCAUUUUCAUUCAAGCAUCUGCUCCUGACAGCAGCUACUUGGCAGUUUCCUGGGACUCAGAAGUGUUCUUGAUAAAGAAGAAAGAUGACUUGAUUGCAUUAAGGCCAGUGAGUUCCACUCUCAUCCUGGAAACAAAAGAAUAUACUUCUAGUAGAGCAGAUCUGGCAAAUGAUAGAUGGAGAAGGCAAAACAACACUACUCAUGCCUUAAGCCUGCUGCUUUCUUAAAUUGAACACACAAGAAAAAAAAGAUGAAAACAAGUAUUUUGUUUUUACAUAAUUUUAUUUCAAAAUUUUAAGUUUCAGAAAAGAGAGUUGCAUGAUGUAUUGUUAUAAUAAGAAAUGCUACUUGAAAGGACUUUUGAAUAAAUUGAGAAAAACAAGAAAGUGAUACCAAGGAGCACUGAGACAGAGAUGGCUUAAUCAGCAGAUAGCAGUUAUCUUGCUGAGAAAAUAACACCCAAUUCUCUUUAUUUUUCUCCUCUUCCUCCUUCUGCUUUUUCUCUUCUACCUUCUCCUUUUCCCGCUCUUCCUCUUCAUUCUUUUCUUUUUGUACUCAGGAAACUCACCCAUUUUUGGAUUCAUUUGCCCUUGGAUCUAAUUCUAAUGCUCAUGUUGGUUAAAAUGCAGUACUAUAUCUUAUCACUUGGAGCUGUUAAGCUUUCAACUCCUUCUAAUUAAAAUAUGCUGCUAAUUUUUUAAAAAAUUACAAUUGAUUAUAUGUUGAAAAAAUAAAUGGCUUCUUCCGGUAGAAAAUACAAGAUAUAGGUGGCUAUUUUAUCUUUUGACUGAAUGAGCUAUGUGGGAGACCAGAAUAUAUCACCCCCAACUACAAAGAAUUGUUGCACUGAGGGCAAUUAAGAAACAGCAGAUGCAGGAAAGCUCUCUGCCCUUCCUUUCUUUGUCUUAAAAGCAGGACAUAACUGUACAAAGACCAAGGUAGCCUGCUUCUGCUUACACCAGGGAGAACAAAGGUUAACCACUGAAGACAACUUUAGACCAUUAUUGCCUUUAAUAUGGCACAAGGGAAACCAAUAUGGCAAGCUUUACUAACUAGCCUUUCUCUACUAGUUAUUUGCCUUCCACAAGUUGCUGCCCCUGUAGACUCAAAGUCCUUUUCUUUUGUCUUGUCACUUUUUAAAAAAUUGACUCUUCUUUGUUGAAGUAGCUAUAUAAACUGGAAUUCAAAGCCACUUCUUUGAUAACUACUCAUUCUGUGGAUGUUUCCUGUGUGUAUG
rnacentral:lncRNA from 10 species